rnacentral:rRNA from 1 species
GCGUGCUUAACACAUGCAAGUCGAACGAUGAUCUCCAGCUUGCUGGGGGGAUUAGUGGCGAACGGGUGAGUAACACGUGAGUAACCUGCCCUUGACUCUGGGAUAAGCCUGGGAAACUGGGUCUAAUACCGGAUACGACCGUCCCGCGCAUGCGGUGGUGGUGGAAAGCUUUUGCGGUUUUGGAUGGACUCGCGGCCUAUCAGCUUGUUGGUGGGGUAAUGGCCUACCAAGGCGACGACGGGUAGCCGGCCUGAGAGGGUGACCGGCCACACUGGGACUGAGACACGGCCCAGACUCCUACGGGAGGCAGCAGUGGGGAAUAUUGCACAAUGGGCGAAAGCCUGAUGCAGCGACGCCGCGUGAGGGAUGACGGCCUUCGGGUUGUAAACCUCUUUCAGUAGGGAAGAAGCGAAAGUGACGGUACCUGCAGAAGAAGCGCCGGCUAACUACGUGCCAGCAGCCGCGGUAAUACGUAGGGCGCAAGCGUUAUCCGGAAUUAUUGGGCGUAAAGAGCUCGUAGGCGGUUUGUCGCGUCUGCUGUGAAAGACCGGGGCUCAACUCCGGUUCUGCAGUGGGUACGGGCAGACUAGAGUGAUGUAGGGGAGACUGGAAUUCCUGGUGUAGCGGUGAAAUGCGCAGAUAUCAGGAGGAACACCGAUGGCGAAGGCAGGUCUCUGGGCAUUAACUGACGCUGAGGAGCGAAAGCAUGGGGAGCGAACAGGAUUAGAUACCCUGGUAGUCCAUGCCGUAAACGUUGGGCACUAGGUGUGGGGGACAUUCCACGUUUUCCGCGCCGUAGCUAACGCAUUAAGUGCCCCGCCUGGGG